CCGCUUCCAAUAAUUGCUUUGCUUGGUUCGGUGCCUGCAGUGGUGAAAGCGAACCAUACUCCUCCUCUCAAGCUGCUCUUAUCUGCAUCGCUCUAGGCGUUUCUUCUACCUCCAAUUCUUGCCUCCAGCUCCACGCUUCAAUGUGCCCUCGCCCUUCUCCUCCCCAAAUCAGCGCGCCCUCACCCCUCUUCCUCUCCGUGCCGCCGCAUCCCAUCCCCGAAUCAGUGCGAUACACAAGCUGGGCCCAUGGGGACAAGAAGGAGUUGGGUGAAGCUGGUUUUUUCGGCUCUAGGUGCGCGUUCUAUCGCGGAGUUGUUGCUAUUGGAUAUAUGACGGACUGGGACUGGAUUAGAGUGGACAGACGAAAAAAUUUCCAGACCAAAUUUGAGGCUGGGCGCGGACGGGGAAGCGGACAGGAGAGAAGCAUCGGGCACGCAACGACGGGGACACGAGGAAGCGGAUGGGAGAGGAGCGGGCAGAAUAAAAAAGGGCAGACUGAAAUUUUGCCUCUUUAUUAGUAGGUAUAGAUUACACGGUAUGCUCACAAACACGCACGAAAAAAACUGCCUUCAAAUUCUAGUCUAAAAUAAAUUCAAGAAAAUACAAAAAUCCAUGCUAAAGUUAAGAUUUUGAACCUAAUUAGGCCUUGUUUAGAUAUAUGUGUAUCAACUCCAAUUUACAUGUGUCCCAAACAAAGGCCUUAGAUUGGUUCCAGGUUUAUUAGCUUAACAUUGUUCGUUCGCUGCUGAUGAAGUAGUGUUGAAAAUCAUGGGCCAAACCAACUAAGUGACACUCGGUUUACAUGUAUAUGGUGUAAAUUUUGACUGCUCAAGUUAUGUAUAUUCUGAACCUAACUUGUCAUACUCAGUAUGCUGAAAUA